CCUACGGGUGGCUGCAGUGGGGAAUAUUGGACAAUGGGGGGAACCCUGAUCCAGCCAUGCCGCGUGUGUGAAGAAGGCCCUCGGGUUGUAAAGCACUUUCAGUGAGGAAGAACGCCUGGUGGUUAAUACCCAUCAGGAAAGACAUCACUCACAGAAGAAGCACCGGCUAACUCCGUGCCAGCAGCCGCGGUAAUACGGAGGGUGCGAGCGUUAAUCGGAAUUACUGGGCGUAAAGCGCGCGUAGGUGGCUUGAUAAGCCGGUUGUGAAAGCCCCGGGCUCAACCUGGGAACGGCAUCCGGAACUGUCAAGCUAGAGUGCAGGAGAGGAAGGUAGAAUUCCCGGUGUAGCGGUGAAAUGCGUAGAGAUAGGGAGGAAUACCAGUGGCGAAGGCGGCCUUCUGGACUGACACUGACACUGAGGUGCGAAAGCGUGGGUAGCAAACAGGAUUAGAUACCCGUGUAGUC
rnacentral:rRNA from 1 species